rnacentral:rRNA from 1 species
AACGAACGCUGGCGGCAGGCCUAACACAUGCAAGUCGAGCGAGGACUUCGGUCCUAGCGGCGGACGGGUGAGUAACGCGUGGGAACGUGCCCUUUGCUUCGGAAUAGCCCUGGGAAACUGGGAGUAAUACCGGAUGAGCCCUUUGGGGGAAAGAUUUAUCGGCGAAGGAUCGGCCCGCGUUGGAUUAGGUAGUUGGUGGGUAAUGGCCUACCAAGCCGACGAUCCAUAGCUGGUUUGAGAGGAUGAUCAGCCACACUGGGACUGAGACACGGCCCAGACUCCUACGGGAGGCAGCAGUGGGGAAUCUUAGACAAUGGGGGAAACCCUGAUCUAGCCAUGCCGCGUGAGCGAUGAAGGCCUUAGGGUUGUAAAGCUCUUUCAGCUGGGAAGAUAAUGACGGUACCAGCAGAAGAAGCCCCGGCGAACUCCGU